GAUGAACGCUGGCGGCGUGCCUAAUACAUGCAAGUCGAGCGAACGGACGAGAAGCUUGCUUCUCUGAUGUUAGCGGCGGACGGGUGAGUAACACGUGGAUAACCUACCUAUAAGACUGGGAUAAUUUCGGGAAACCGGAGCUAAUACCGGAAAAUAUUUUGAACCGCAUGGUUCAAAAGUGAAAGACGGUCUUGCUGUCACUUAUAGAUGGAUCCGCGCUGCAUUAGCUAGUUGGUAAGGUAACGGCUUACCAAGGCAACGAUGCAUAGACGACCUGAGAGGGUGAUCGGCCACACUGGAACUGAGACACGGCCCAGACUCCUACGGGAGGCAGCAGUAGGGAAUCUUCCGCAAUGGGCGAGAGCCUGACGGAGCAACGCGGCGUGAGUGAUGAAGGUCUUCGGAUCGUAAAACGCUGUUAUUAGGGAAGAACAUAUGUGUAAGUAACUGUGCACAUCUUGACGGUACCUAAUCAGAAAGCCACGGCUAACUACGUG
rnacentral:rRNA from 1 species